UACGGGAGGGGGCUAGCGUUGUUCGGAAUUACUGGGCGUAAAGCGCACGUAGGCGGCUUUGUAAGUUAGAGGUGAAAGCCCAGGGCUUAACCCUGGAAUUGCCUUUAAGACUGCAUCGCUAGAAUCGUGGAGAGGUAAGUGGAAUUCCGAGUGUAGAGGUGAAAUUCGUAGAUAUUCGGAAGAACACCAGUGGCGAAGGCGACUUACUGGACACGUAUUGACGCUGAGGUGCGAAAGCGGUGGGGAGCAAACAGG
rnacentral:rRNA from 1 species